UACGAAGGGGGCUAGCGUUGCUCGGAAUUACUGGGCGUAAAGCGUGCGCAGGCGGUGAUGUAAGACAGGUGUGAAAGCCCCGGGCUCAACCUGGGAAUUGCGAUGGAGACUGCAAGGCUUGAAUCUGGCAGAGGGGGGUAGAAUUCCACGUGUAGCAGUGAAAUGCGUAGAGAUGUGGAGGAACACCGAUGGCGAAGGCAGCCCCCUGGGUCAAGAUUGACGCUCAUGCACGAAAGCGUGGGGAGCAAACAGG
rnacentral:rRNA from 1 species